rnacentral:rRNA from 3 species
GUCGAGCGGAAACGAUGGGAGCUUGCUCCCAGGCGUCGAGCGGCGGACGGGUGAGUAACACUUAGGAAUCUACCUAGUAGUGGGGGAUAGCUCGGGGAAACUCGAAUUAAUACCGCAUACGUCCUACGGGAGAAAGGGGGCAACUUGUUGCUCUCGCUAUUAGAUGAGCCUAAGUCGGAUUAGCUAGUUGGUGGGGUAAAGGCCUACCAAGGCGACGAUCUGUAGCUGGUCUGAGAGGAUGAUCAGCCACACCGGGACUGAGACACGGCCCGGACUCCUACGGGAGGCAGCAGUGGGGAAUAUUGGACAAUGGGGGCAACCCUGAUCCAGCCAUGCCGCGUGUGUGAAGAAGGCCUUUUGGUUGUAAAGCACUUUAAGCAGUGAAGAAGACCUUAUGGUUAAUACCCGUGUGCGAUGACAUUAGCUGCAGAAUAAGCACCGGCUAACUCUGUGCCAGCAGCCGCGGUAAUACAGAGGGUGCAAGCGUUAAUCGGAAUUACUGGGCGUAAAGCGAGCGUAGGUGGCUUGAUAAGUCAGAUGUGAAAUCCCCGGGCUUAACCUGGGAACUGCAUCUGAUACUGUUAGGCUAGAAUAGGUGAGAGGAA